rnacentral:rRNA from 1 species
GAUGAACGCUGGCGGCGUGCCUAAUACAUGCAAGUCGAACGCAUAGCGAAAGGUGCUUGCACCUUUCAAGUGAGUGGCGAACGGGUGAGUAACACGUGGACAACCUGCCUCAAGGCUGGGGAUAACAUUUGGAAACAGAUGCUAAUACCGAAUAAAACUUAGUGUCGCAUGACACAAAGUUAAAAGGCGCUUCGGCGUCACCUAGAGAUGGAUCCGCGGUGCAUUAGUUAGUUGGUGGGGUAAAGGCCUACCAAGACAAUGAUGCAUAGCCGAGUUGAGAGACUGAUCGGCCACAUUGGGACUGAGACACGGCCCAAACUCCUACGGGAGGCUGCAGUAGGGAAUCUUCCACAAUGGGCGAAAGCCUGAUGGAGCAACGCCGCGUGUGUGAUGAAGGCUUUCGGGUCGUAAAGCACUGUUGUAUGGGAAGAACAGCUAGAAUAGGAAAUGAUUUUAGUUGGACGGUACCAUACCAGAAAGGGACGGCUAAAUACGU